rnacentral:rRNA from 1 species
UACGUAGGUGACAAGCGUUGUCCGGAUUUACUGGGCGUAAAGAGCGCGCAGGCGGUCGUUCAAGUCGAGGGGGAAAGCCCCCGGCUCAACUGGGGAGGGUCAUUCGAUACUGAUCGACUCGAAGGCAGGAGAGGGAAGUGGAAUUCCCGGUGUAGUGGUGAAAUGCGUAGAUAUCGGGAGGAACACCAGUGGCGAAGGCGACUUCCUGGCCUGUUCUUGACGCUGAGGCGCGAAAGCUAGGGGAGCAAACGGG